UACAGAGGGUGCGAGCGUUGUCCGGAAUCACUGGGCGUAAAGGGCGCGUAGGCGGCUGGGUAAGCCGCGUGUGAAAGCCCGGGGCUCAACCCCGGAACUGCACGCGGGACUGUCCGGCUAGAGUAUGGUAGAGGCGAGUGGAAUUCCUGGUGUAGCGGUGGAAUGCGUAGAGAUCAGGAAGAACACCGGUGGCGAAGGCGGCUCGCUGGGCCAUAACUGACGCUGAGGCGCGAAAGCGUGGGGAGCAAACAGG
rnacentral:rRNA from 1 species